rnacentral:rRNA from 1 species
UACGUAGAUGGCGAGCGUUGUCCGGAAUUACUGGGUGUAAAGGGAGUGUAGGCGGGAUUGCAAGUUGAAUGUGAAAGGUGUGGGCUCAACCCACAGAGUGCGUUCAAAACUGCAGUUCUUGAGUGAAGUAGAGGCAGGCGGAAUUCCCGGUGUAGCGGUGGAAUGCGUAGAUAUCGGGAGGAACACCAGUGGCGAAGGCGGCCUGCUGGACUUUUACUGACGCUGAGGCUCGAAAGCAUGGGUAGCAAACAGG